rnacentral:rRNA from 1 species
UACGUAGGGUGCGAGCGUUAAUCGGAUUUACUGGGCGUAAAGCGUGCGCAGGCGGUCCGUUAAGUCAGGUGUGAAAUCUCUGGGCUCAACCUAGGAGUUGCGCUUGUGACUGGCGGGCUCGAGUACGGUAGAGGGGGGUGGAAUUCCUGGUGUAGCAGUGAAAUGCGUAGAGAUCAGGAGGAACACCGAUGGCGAAGGCAGCCCCCUGGGCCUGUACUGACGCUCAUGCACGAAAGCGUGGGGAGCAAACAGG